AGAUACCCUGGUAGUCCAUGCCGUAAACGUUGGGCACUAGGUGUGGGGACCAUUCCACGGUUUCCGCGCCGCAGCUAACGCAUUAAGUGCCCCGCCUGGGGAGUACGGCCGCAAGGCUAAAACUCAAAGGAAUUGACGGGGGCCCGCACAAGCGGCGGAGCAUGCGGAUUAAUUCGAUGCAACGCGAAGAACCUUACCAAGGCUUGACAUGUUUUCGACCGCCGUAGAGAUACGGUUUCCCCUUUGGGGCGGAUUCACAGGUGGUGCAUGGUUGUCGUCAGCUCGUGUCGUGAGAUGUUGGGUUAAGUCCCGCAACGAGCGCAACCCUCGUUCCAUGUUGCCAGCACGUCGUGGUGGGGACUCAUGGGAGACUGCCGGGGUCAACUCGGAGGAAGGUGGGGACGACGUCAAAUCAUCAUGCCCCUUAUGUCUUGGGCUUCACGCAUGCUACAAUGGCCGGUACAAUGGGUUGCGAUACUGUGAGGUGGAGCUAAUCCCAAAAAGCCGGUCUCAGUUCGGAUUGGGGUCUGCAACUCGACCCCAUGAAGUCGGAGUCGCUAGUAAUCGCAGAUCAGCAACGCUGCGGUGAAUACGUUCCCGGGCCUUGUACACACCGCCCGUCAAGUCACGAAAGUCGGUAACACCCGAAGCCGGUGGCUAACCCUUGUGGGGGGGAGCCGUCGAAGGUGGGACCAGCGAUUGGGACUAAGUCGUAACAAGGUAAC
rnacentral:rRNA from 1 species